rnacentral:rRNA from 1 species
GACGAACGCUGGCGGCGUGCUUAACACAUGCAAGUCGAACGGUGAACCACUUCGGUGGGGAUCAGUGGCGAACGGGUGAGUAACACGUGGGCAACCUGCCCUUAGCUCUGGGAUAACCCGGAACCGGGCGUAUACCGGAUAUCACUUCGAGCGGCAUCACUCGGAGUUGAAAGGAUUCUGGCUAAGGAUGGGCCCGCGGCCUAUCAGCUUGUUGGUGGGGUAAUGGCCUACCAAGGCGACGACGGGUAGCCGGCCUGAGAGGGCGACCGGCCACACUGGGACUGAGACACGGCCCAGACUCCUACGGGAGGCAGCAGUGGGGAAUAUUGCGCAAUGGGCGAAAGCCUGACGCAGCGACGCCGCGUGAGGGAUGAAGG